UAAAUCUGGAACCGGCAAUUGUGCAUUCAGUCGGAUAGUGAAAGGCACAGCAUAUCCAGCAAUGGCUAUGUUGAAGCUGCCCGUAUGCGAAACUGCAGGCCGUAUCGAGAGAGAAUGCGAUGUAGCACCGAAAGGUCUGGGAGGGGAAGCCGAAUGCGUUGCGUAAGCAUGAAGGCUGCCAUAUCCUCGGAAACAAAUGCACAUAAGGAGGAUAUUCCCCCGGUGUUUCAGCAAU
rfam:Ferroplasma sp. Type II genomic scaffold AMDT4_FER2S00020, whole genome shotgun sequence.